CUCUGCCGCCGUCGUGUCGUCACCGACGUAGCUGCCGCCGCCGUUCAUUCUCCGGUCGACCACUGUCGGUGCUCGUUUGUGUUGCCGCAUCACAUUACUUUAGCCAUCGGCUUCCGAAGAUCGAUUUCCGACGACGAAUAACUUACUUACCAAAUCACAACUUAAUCAUGACAUCACCCGCCGCAUCACCACAAAAGCCAGCCAUCACCAAUUCCACCGCGUCUCCAGUCCGCUUGCCGAGCGUACAGCCGACUCCCACGCACAACUCGCAGCCCACCGCCGCACAGUCCGUCCAGGGUAAAUGGCAGUGCGCUCUGCGGGACAACCCUGUGAUCGCCAGCGGAACUAUGGCUUGGACGCGAGUGUGGAGAUUUUCCAAGCUCCUGCUGCAGACUGGAUGUUAAAAAAAUACAGCGACGGAUUUUCACGCUAAAAAAUUAUUACUCUCUCUCUUUCACUCUCUAUCUAUCUCUCUCUCUCUCUAUCUCUCUCUUUUUCCGUGUCAGCAAGACGACAGCAUUUUUAUUUUAGAAUAAAUCAUAAAGUCGUAUAUAUUAUAUAUGUGCGCAUCAUUUUCACUAUAGUUCGGAAUAGUUAUUAUCGACGUGUGUGUAUAAUAAUAUUUUAACGACACGGCCGUAAUGUAAUAUACGACUAAUAAUAUAAGACUAUACGAUAAUGACGUAUUAUUAUAUAUUAUAUAAUAUAUUAUGGACUAGUGUGAUGUACGUUAAGUUAAAGUGGUUAGUUAUAACUUAAAUAUAUCAUUAUAUAUUGUAUGAUCUACACCGAGGCGUUUGUAUCGUGUUCCCUGCCCACGUUGUCUCGUACCUUUGUAAUAUUAUGUAGACUUAGUAUAAUAAUGCCACACAAUUAAUUUGUUAACUCUCGAAUUAAUGAUUUUUAUUAUACCUAGUAAGCGUUUUUUAUUUGUUUUUUUUUUAGGAUUUCUUUAUGAUAAUAUCGACUACUAUAAUAUCGCGUCAACCAAAGUUAGUUGUUUUUAAUUGUUAAGUAUUAUGUACAAUCGCACAUCCGAAAUUCGAUUCAUCGAUUGUAAAUUUGUAACUAUGUAACGUGUAAUAAGUGUAUAUUUUAUGUAGUACAAAAAUAUCAAGAAACAGCUAAUCGUCCAUAUUUUGCGGUUCAUCCUGCAAUAUAGUUGAAAAGUAAAAGUCCAUUGCUAAGUCAAGAAAAACACUAUUUUCUCAUUGAAUAUAGCAUUUAUGUUUCGAAUAAAGACUAUUGCCACGUAGACAAGCUACGUGUUGACAGCAAUUCAUAUGGGCAUAAGAAUAUUCGAGAUAAAAUACAUUUGUUAAUAAAUAUGAAAUAAUAAUAAUAAUAAGACCAAAGUAAUUUAUUGUUAUGAAUGAAAUCAAAAUGUACCCACAAUAUUCCUAUUUAUUUAAUAUAGAUCUAUCGAAUCAACAAUAGCACGAUAAGUCUGUUAAAUGAUUUCGAAAAUUUGUAAACGUAUGGAAUGUAACAGUGUUACAGUCAUAGAUGAAUACAUUAAUGUCUAGAAAUUCGGAUGAAUAAAACAAUAUGACGUGAAGCGUCACUGGUAAAAGUACCACUAACAUUUUUUUGGUCCCUUUGCAGGCCCUACAAUAGUACGUAAUUUUAUUGGAUGAUAAAACAACAAUAAUUAUUAUAGGCAAUAUUGUAAUGACAGGGACGUAUCAUAUAACUGUACUGUGCAAUUACUAAUCAUAGAUACCUAUACUAUAGAUAUACAAUUGUGAAAUUAGACUACUGUUUUAAGUUGUGCGCUCCUAUCGUAGCAAUAAAAUUAAAAUGCAACCGUUACCCGUAAUUGUUAGUGUACACGUUAACGAUUUUACUUCUUUUAUAUGCCGGGUUGCAUACACAAUUAUUAAACAUUUAUUGAAUAGCUAGAGAGCUAAAAGUCCCUUAUGAAUGCUUUAGUAUAGCCCGUGAUUGGUUUGUUAAAAUCAAGUGAUUAAAUUCAAUUAAAUCAUUAAAUGAAUCAAUUUUUUAUGUAACCCGGAUUUAUAUUAGCAUAGAUAAGUGUUUUACGUAAUUUGAAAGUUUGGAUUUAUUAGUUGUUUAUCAUAUUAUUAUACAUUGUUAUCAAUUUGACUAAUCGUAAUUCGUUAUUUGAACUUACUAAAUUAUAUGACAUUUUACUCAUAUUAUUUAAUAUUUUAAAUAAGCACGUUUUUU